AUAGCAAAACACUGGCAAGAAUGAGAUGGAAAGGUACGAUUCGACCGAUACAAAAGCAGCAAUACCGAUACGGUACAAUGAAUAUUUAUAGACCGCUUUCCAACAAAAGUUCCCAAAUCGUUUUACAUACAUAUCAACAAACAAACAAACAAACAGAAUGGCUCCCUGUCCCCAAAGGGCUUGCAAUCUAAACAAGAAACCUAAGAUAGACACCAGCAACAGCCAGUGGAGGGAUGCUGUGAUGGGGAUGGAUAGGGUCAGUUGCUCUCCUCCUGCUCAAUGAAAGAGAAUCGCCACUUUGAAAAGGUGCCUCUUUGUUCAGUUAGCAGCAAGACCAAGAUCAGUCAAUUUCAUGACAAUCUGUCAAUUGCCAGUUAACAGAGACGCAAGCCCUAUUCACAGGUUACUUUCUACACUCGUUCAAGUGCACAGUACACCUGGGUACAGAUCUGUACCCAGAUUCAGUGAUUCACACGUGAUGCUGAACACAGGUAUAGCAGUAUACUUCCUAAUUUGUAUCAUGCCUGUGAGCGCCUGUGCUCAGAUUCACUUUUUAAAUGAACGCAGGAAUGGUCAUUCACACAAAACAUGUACGAUUAUACAAGAUAAAGUCUAAGUAGGGAUAGAGUGUCCAGAUUACAAGUUGUCACCGUUCCACUCUAUUCUGUCCUGGUUACACCUCACUUGGAAUUCUGUGUCCAGUUUUAAGGAACAUAUGGUAUUGUCGUUUUAUAGAUUUUUUAAAAUUUUCUAUAUACAUAUUUGUUCAGAGAUUUUAUUACAUGUUUAUUUUAAGGUUUAUAAGUUUUGCUUUAAAAAAUAGGAUAUCUAAACAUGUUGGAAUAAAUCAUUUCUUCAGCAGCUCUUGCAUUGCUGUUGUGAAAUUGCUUGGUAUCCACUUCUAAGCUGGUUAUUUUUGAAUUGAUAAUUUUACAGGGUAUAACCCACUCCCCCUUUUAAAAAAAAAUUGUACUGAAGGCUGCUUACACAUUCAAAAGAAGUCAGGCUGAAGAAAAAUAAAACUUAGACUAAGUGUUGUCCUUUGGGGAGAUGCUUGGGAAACACUUAAAUUGCUGCCACUCAACUAUUUCAUAUCAGACGAUAUCAAACUGAUCACAAAGCAAUUGCUUGACCCCUCUGCCAGUGGGCAUCACAAUCCCAUCCUUGUGGGCCUCCCCCCUUUUGACCAUAUAUGGUUCCUUUCAAAGCCCCUCUCAACAUGGCCGGCCGCUUUCUGCUGUCACAAGGAGAGCAACCACAGCCCCCUCCCACUGCUGCCCGCAUCAUAAGACUCCACUGUCCUCUGAGCCCCCAUAAAAGCAGCCCACCUUUGCUGUGCAGCUAAGUCUCCUGGGGGGGGGGGAAGAGGGGAAACGGUGAAUGUUCCCCCUCUGCCCCCGUGGGAUGUGGGAGGGCGGCCGAAGUCCGGGGCUUUUUCCACAAUCUCAGUCCCUGUAGGGGAUCCAGAUUUCUGGUAGAGGAUGCCGAGCUGUCUCCCCUACACCCCUGCAGGCUCCUUCGGGAGCUCCUACUGGCCACGACCGUCUACCGUGCCCCUCUCAGGCAAAAGGGCUGAAGCGGGGUCUCCCCCUCCCUGUAAGAAGCAGCUCCCCAAGCAGCUCGGAGACCCAGCUCCCAAAGGCAUGCUCCUUUGGGUUGAGCCAGAGUAGCUCAAGCUGUGUCUGGAUGGGGUCAUCCAUUGGUGGUCCUGCUCCAACACAGAUUGACCAAGGCCCACUGUUUAACCCGGCCCUGCAGGCCUGGCUGGUUGCCGCUUUUGGGAGCCGAGAAGGAAUUUUCCCCUGGGAGGUCUCUGGAUCCCCAGGUUUUUUGCCUUCUCUGCACGGCCUUCCUCUUCAGCUCUGCAAGCGCCUCGGCUUGCCGCUGAAGACGAGUCAACCAGUGGGUCUUUCCCCCUCCCUCCCACCCCCAAAUAAAAUAGAAAUUAAGCUGAA